rnacentral:snRNA from 1 species
UCACUUACCUGGACGGGGUCAAUGGGUGAUCAAGAAGGUCCAUGACCUAGGUUGGUGACCUCCAUUGCACUUCAGAGGGGUGCCCGCCUAAGGUCGGCCCAAGUGGUCGAGCCUACGUCAUAAUUUGUGGCAGUGGGGGCUUGCGUUCGCGCAGCCCCUGC